GUGUGGGUUUUUGACUGGGAAGCAGAGACCUUCCUGUUCCAGUCUUUGUGUGACUGGAGGAGGGCUGAAAGGCAAUAACUGAGCCAGGGAGUAGGGCAUGGAGGAUCCAGGGACAUCCAUGCAUAGGGAAGGACUAAACCUUGGAACAACAGAUAUAAUCCUAUCUAAACUAUCCAUACCUUUCUGGUACUCGGUGCAGUAUUUCAGGGCAAUUGCAUAAGAACCAGGGACAAUGAGUGAACAGAACCAAAUCAAACUGAGGACUGGACAGCUUAGCUGACUGAUGCUGGGAUACAAACCUUUUACCGUGUACAUAUUCCUAAUUCAAAUCCUGCUGAGACUAAAAUGGCCACCCCUCUGUAACUUCAGAGUCCCGUAAGUGACUUGCCACAAGAUGUCAGAAUAUGUUAAUGUUAGAGCAUAUUCAGACGAGCAUGCUUAGCAAGUGGCCAACCCUGAUAGUAGCUGGAAGAGGCUGGAGAUCGGGCGGUACACAUUCUGCCUCAGCGUCUGUUGAUUUGUCUCUUCUGAUACCCUGGUCCAAAGGACCCUUAUACACUUCUAAUCAGUAGCUUUGUCAAUGAUUGACUGAGAAACUUCUGCGUAAGACUUUCCUCUGAAACUGCUAUAUAAGACUUUCCUCUUGGUAUCACACAGUCACUGUCCUUAGUUGUGCUUUUCUCAUGUUUUUAAUCACAUGUUCCUCAUGUUGUUUGUCCCAUAGUCACGUUGCGCAAUCGAGUCUCCUGAUAUUUUGCAUCUUUGUCUUCAGCCUCUUCUUUCCACUCCACAAUCAUACCACAUCCACACUUACUCUUAUUCAUUCUUAUCCCAUUAAUUCAUUAUAAUCAAUACAUAAAUCAAUAAAAUCUGAAUGAAUCAUAUGA